GAUGAACGCUGGCGGCGUGCCUAAUACAUGCAAGUCGAGCGGUAAGGCCCUUCGGGGUACACGAGCGGCGGACAGCUGAGUAACACGUAGGAACAUACCCCAAAGUGAGGGAUAAGCACCAGAAAUGGUGUCUAAUACCGCAUGUGGUCUUCGGAUUAAAGCUUUAUGCGCUUUGGGAAUGGCCUGCGUCCGAUUAGCUAGUUGGUGAGGUAAUAGCUCACCAAGGCGACGAUCGGUAGCUGGUCUGAGAGGAUGAUCAGCCAGACUGGGACUGAGAACGGCCCAGACUCCUACGGGAGGCAGCAGUAGGGAAUUUUCCACAAUGGACGAAAGUCUGAUGGAGCAACGCCGCGUGCAGGAUGAAGGCCUUCGGGUUGUAAACUGCUUUUAUCUGUGACGAUUAUGACGGUAGCAGAUGAAUAAGGAUCGGCUAACUCCGUGCCAGCAGCCGCAGUAACAC
rnacentral:rRNA from 1 species